rnacentral:rRNA from 1 species
UACGUACUGUGCAAACGUUAUUCGGAUUCACUGGGCGUAAAGGGUGCGCAGGCGGCCGGGUGUGUCAGAUGUGAAAUCCCGAGGCUCAACCUCGGAACUGCGUCUGAAGCUACUCGGCUAGAGUACUGGAGAGGGUAACGGAAUUCACGGUGUAGCAGUGAAAUGCGUAGAUAUCGUGAGGAACACCAGAGGCGAAGGCGGUUACCUGGACAGUUACUGACGCUCAGGCACGAAAGCAUGGGGAGCAAAAGGG